rnacentral:tRNA from 2 species
CAAAAUAAAGCUAAAAUUAGCGUUUCGUUUACACCGAAAAGGUUAUCGUUUAACUCGAUUUAUUUUGA